ensembl:lncRNA
GAAAAAUUUGCGUUUCCUGAAAGCCAAGGCACCGAGUCAUUUCUACUUAGCACAGGAACCAAGCACUGAUGCUUGGAUUGUCAGUACGUGUUCUGGAGAUAAAAGCUCGAGUCUGUUUGCUAUCUGCUGUGUUGAAGCAUGUUACUCAUCUCAUGGAGGAACUGCAAGGUCAGAGUUUAAGGUGCUCAUUCAGAAAGGUUAUGUAAGUGUUUACCUAGUAAGGACACAAGUUUGGGUUUUGGUUUAUCACAUGGUAACGUGAAAGGAAAAGCACCUGAAGUCAAUGAAAGCAAGGCCUUAGGGUCAUGAAUCUACCUACUUUGCUGAUUUAGACCAACCACAGCAGAAGUUGCUAAUGCCAGACAGGACAAGGAUGGUUCCUUUGUAACCACCUAAAACAUGGGCUGUGCCUGGCGGAGGAAAUGCAUGUACAUCUGCCUUACCAGCUCUGACCAGGGAUGCUGCUGUUCCCCAUGCUAGGUCUGUCAUCUAAUACUGUUUUAAACCAUAUGAUGGAAGAUAAUUUUAUGCUGUUAAGAAGUAAAAGACAGACCGUGAAAGAAAAAAUGACUGCCAUUCCAUGUUAGACCAAUUGCAUUUUUGUGGCAGAUAGAUAUUUUCUGUAUUUCUGUUUCUCCUUUGUUUUUCAGAGUAUUUAUGUACAUGGAAGAGGAUCCCUGUUUCCAGAGAAAUUAUCAGUUCCUGCUGCUUAUACCCUAUUUGAUGUCACGAACUUGGUUGCUGUGGAAAUGAUUAAGCUGUCAUCAACAGGAUUCAGAUGGGGAAUAAGCUCUGGGAGAAGAUGAUACAACAUAACUUCUUUUAUGCAAAUAUGUGCAGUUAAGAAUGGCAAACAGACAAACAAGCGAAAAAAUAGAGGUAAACACCCUCCCCUCUCCCAAAUCACCAUUCAGGCUGAGCAGACUUUAUUUUAAAAUGGGCACAUUUUUUUCCAGGAGAUGUCAGAUGAUGUCGAAAAUGUCAUCCACUGUUGUGGAAGUGGCAGAAAGGAGCUUGAGGAAAAAUAACCAUUGGACUCCAGUCCAGGCAGAGAAUUGGCCUUGUCCCUGGACUCCAAAGACACAUGGAAUUGCUAAAAUUCAGCCUGAAUGCAGAUGGGGCUUUGACAAGCUCUAA